CUGGCGGCGUGCUUAACACAUGCAAGUCGAACGGACGAUGAAGAGCUUGCUUUUCAAAGUUAGUGGCGGACGGGUGAGUAACGCGUGGGUAACCUGCCUCAUACAGGGGGAUAGCAGCUGGAAACGGCUGAUAAAACCGCAUAAGCGCACAGCAUCGCAUGAUGCAGUGUGAAAAACUCCGGUGGUAUGAGAUGGACCCGCGUCUGAUUAGCUGGUUGGUGAGGUAACGGCCCACCAAGGCGACGAUCAGUAGCCGGCCUGAGAGGGUGACCGGCCACAUUGGGACUGAGACACGGCCCAAACUCCUACGGGAGGCAGCAGUGGGGAAUAUUGCACAAUGGGGGAAACCCUGAUGCAGCGACACCGCGUGAGCGAAGAAGUAUUUCGGUAUGUAAAGCUCUAUCAGCAGGGAAGAAGAAAUGACGGUACCUGACUAAGAAGCACCGGCUAAAUACGUGCCAGCAGCCGCGGUAAUACGUAUGGUGCAAGCGUUAUCCGGAUUUACUGGGUGUAAAGGGAGCGUAGACGGAGUGGCAAGUCUGAUGUGAAAACCCGGGGCUCAACCCCGGGACUGCAUUGGAAACUGUCAAUCUAGAGUACCGGAGAGGUAAGCGGAAUUCCUAGUGUAGCGGUGAAAUGCGUAGAUAUUAGGAGGAACACCAGUGGCGAAGGCGGCUUACUGGACGGUAACUGACGUUGAGGCUCGAAAGCGUGGGGAGCAAACAGGAUUAGAUACCCCUGGUAGUCCACGCCGUAAACGAUGACUACUAGGUGUCGGGCAGCAAAGCUGUUCGGUGCCGCAGCAAACGCAAUAAGUAGUCCACCUGGGGAGUACGUUCGCAAGAAUGAAACUCAAAGGAAUUGACGGGGACCCGCACAAGCGGUGGAGCAUGUGGUUUAAUUCGAAGCAACGCGAAGAACCUUACCUGCUCUUGACAUCUCCCUGACCGGCAAGUAAUGUUGCCUUUCCUUCGGGACAGGGAUGACAGGUGGUGCAUGGUUGUCGUCAGCUCGUGUCGUGAGAUGUUGGGUUAAGUCCCGCAACGAGCGCAACCCCUAUCUUUAGUAGCCAGCGGUUCGGCCGGGCACUCUAGAGAGACUGCCAGGGAUAACCUGGAGGAAGGUGGGGAUGACGUCAAAUCAUCAUGCCCCUUAUGAGCAGGGCUACACACGUGCUACAAUGGCGUAAACAAAGGGAGGCAGAACCGCGAGGUCGAGCAAAUCCCAAAAAUAACGUCUCAGUUCGGAUUGUAGUCUGCAACUCGACUACAUGAAGCUGGAAUCGCUAGUAAUCGCGAAUCAGAAUGUCGCGGUGAAUACGUUCCCGGGUCUUGUACACACCGCCCGUCACACCAUGGGAGUCAGUAACGCCCGAAGUCAGUGACCCAACCGUAAGGAGGGAGCUGCCGAAGGUGGGACCGAUAACUGGGGUGAAGUAA
rnacentral:rRNA from 1 species